rnacentral:rRNA from 1 species
UCAGGGUGGGGAAUGGGUGCACUUAUUAGAUCAGAAGCCAACCAAUUCAUGGGCCCGCUUCACGGUGGGUGUGUGGAUUGUAGCACUUCUGGUGACUCUGGAUAAUUGUUACAGAUCGCAGUCGGCUUUUAUGUCGGCGACGGGUCCUUCAAAUGUCUGCCCUAUCAACUAUCGAUGGUAGGUGACCUGCCUACCAUGGUGAUAACGGGUAACGGGGAAUCAGGGUUCGAUUCCGGAGAGGGAGCCUGAGAAACGGCUACCACUUCCAAGGGAGGCAGCAGGCGCGCAAAUUACCCACUCCCAGUACGGGGAGGUGGUGACGAAAAAUACCGAUGCGGGACUCAUUAACGAGGCUCCGUAAUCGGAAUGAGUGGACUCUAAAUCCUUUCACCGAGGAUCAAUUUGAGGCAGUCGCCACCG